ACUCCUACGGGAGGCAGCAGUGGGGAAUAUUGCACAAUGGGCGCAAGCCUGAUGCAGCCAUGCCGCGUGUGUGAAGAAGGCCUUCGGGUUGUAAAGCACUUUCAGUCGUGAGGAAGGUAGUGUAGUUAAUAGCUGCAUUAUUUGACGUUAGCGACAGAAGAAGCACCGGCUAACUCCGUGCCAGCAGCCGCGGUAAUACGGAGGGUGCGAGCGUUAAUCGGAAUUACUGGGCGUAAAGCGCAUGCAGGUGGUUUGUUAAGUCAGAUGUGAAAGCCCGGGGCUCAACCUCGGAAUAGCAUUUGAAACUGGCAGACUAGAGUACUGUAGAGGGGGUAGAAUUUCAGGUGUAGCGGUGAAAUGCGUAGAGAUCUGAAGGAAUACCGGUGGCGAAGGCGGCCCCCUGGACAGAUACUGACACUCAGAUGCGAAAGCGUGGGGAGCAAACAGGAUUAGAU
rnacentral:rRNA from 1 species